rnacentral:rRNA from 1 species
CCUACGGGAGGCAGCAGUGAGGAAUAUUGGUCAAUGGGCGGAAGCCUGAACCAGCCAAGUAGCGUGCGGGAUGAAGGCCCUACGGGUCGUAAACCGCUUUUGCACGGGGAUAACACCCUCCACUUGUGGAGGUCUGCAGGUACCUUGCGAAUAAGGGCCGGCUAAUUCCGUGCCAGCAGCCGCGGUAAUACGGAAGGCCCGAGCGUUAUCCGGAUUCAUUGGGCUAAAAGGGAGCGUAGGCGGGCGUUCAAGUCAGCUGUAAAAUCGCGCGGCUCAACCGCGCCCCGCAGUUGAAACGGGACGGCUUGAGUUCGCAACAGGCAGGCGGAAUGCGUGGUGUAGCGGUGAAAUGCAUAGAUAUCACGCGGAACCCCGAUUGCGAAGGCAGCCUGCCGGGGUGCGACUGACGCUGAGGCACGAAGGUGCGGGUAUCAAACAGGAUUAGAUACCCGGGUAGUC